rnacentral:rRNA from 1 species
AACGAACGCUGGCGGCGUGCUUAACACAUGCAAGUCGAACGGAUCAAGGGGCUUGCUCCUUGAUUAGUGGCGCACGGGUGAGUAACGCGUGGAUAAUCUGCCCGACGAUCUGGGAUAACAUCUCGAAAGGGGUGCUAAUACCGGAUAAGCCCACGGGGUCUUCGGAUCUUGCGGGAAAAGAGGGGGACCUUCGGGCCUCUUGUCGUCGGAUGAGUCCGCGUACCAUUAGCUAGUUGGCGGGGUAAAGGCCCACCAAGGCUACGAUGGUUAGCUGGUCUGAGAGGAUGAUCAGCCACACUGGAACUGAGACACGGUCCAGACUCCUACGGGAGGCAGCAGUGGGGAAUUUUGCGCAAUGGGGGAAACCCUGACGCAGCAACGCCGCGUGAGUGAUGAAGGCCUUCGGGUCGUAAAGCUCUGUCUAGAGGAAAGAAGUGUGGGGCGGCUAAUAUCCGCUUCACUUGACGGUACCUCUGAAGGAAGCACCGGCUAACUCCGUGCCAGCAGCCGCGGUAAUACGGAGGGUGCGAGCGUUGUUCGGAUUUAUUGGGCGUAAAGCGCGUGUAGGCGGUUUCUUAAGUCUGAUGUGAAAGCCCCGGGCUCAACCUGGGAAGUGCAUUGGAUACUGGGAGACUUGAAUACGGGAGAGGGUAGUGGAAUUCCUAGUGUAGGAGUGAAAUCCGUAGAUAUUAGGAGGAACACCGGUGGCGAAGGCGGCUACCUGGACCGAUAUUGACGCUGAGACGCGAAAGCGUGGGUAGCAAACAGGAUUAGAUACCCUGGUAGUCCACGCCGUAAACGAUGAGAACUAGGUGUUGCGGGUAUUGACCCCUGCAGUGCCGCAGCUAACGCAUUAAGUUCUCCGCCUGGGAAGUACGGUCGCAAGACUA